rnacentral:lncRNA from 1 species
GCCUACUCAAUGUCCAUUUUUCUCCCUCAUUUACAGAAUCUCUUAAUUAUUGGGUGCUUUGAUGGUUAAUCACUGAACAACAAAGAAUCACUUAAUAAUUGGAUGCCUAUCUAAAAACACUUCCCAAACUCCUUUGCAUAUAGACAUGACCAACAUGCUGAAGUCAAUAUGUAGGGGUUUCCAGGAAGGCUCUUUAAGAAGAACCAAU